rnacentral:SRP_RNA from 12 species
AGGAGCGCAUCGGCGAGGGACGUGGCACCAAAGGAGGAAAUGCAGCAGUCAAACAGAUGAAGCUCGCGCAGCGUGGUGUUCUCGCGAAGAGCGGCGGCGAGAACGGCCGCC